rnacentral:snoRNA from 1 species
GCAUAGUGAUGAUGAUUUAAACAUGUCCGAUCAAUUUAAUGACUGGAAUAUCAACCUCCUACUCAUACUGA